GAAAAAGGGGGAAUAAGCUGCGGUUUGUGCCCCGCCUCCUCCUGGCUUCUAGGACUCUCCUCCCUCCCCCUCUAACCUUCCUCUCCCUCCCUCCCCUCCCCUCCCCCCCCAAGCCCCUGCAGUUGGGCAGAUCAAAUCCCCCCGGGUCCCCGGCCCCGGCCCCGACCUGCUACCAGCGCAGCUGACACCUUAGUGAGCCGAAGGCCCGGCCGCCCCCGCGCUCCCCUCGUCCCGCUCCCGCUCCGUCCUCGGUUAGAUCCUGUUUUGGGAAACGUCCAUAAAACAAUAAAACCUUUGACCUCUGACUCGCGGUGUUCGGGGCAGGGGGAGGGGGCUGCUCCCCUCCCGGUGUCGGGGUCCCACCGCCCCGCUUUCUGCCCCCCCAACUUGUGCCUUUGGUCUGGGAUUCUCUGGGGGACCCUCUCCCACCUGCACGUGGGGCCCCGGCACCUGGCCCUCAGAAUGUCCUGGGGAUGCUGGGAAAUCCCCGCUCGGGGGCGGCCCUGGGUCCUGACUGGGGGGGACAAGCUGCGCCCAUCACGCCGCGGCCCCCCAGAAACGUGGGAGACAAUUCUGGGGACCCCCGAGGUCAGCGGGGGGCGGAGCCCCAGCCGCCGCCGCCGCCGGGAUCUGGGUGGGAGGAGGCAGAGGAAGGUUGUGGGUGCCCAGGGGACCCUCCCCCAUUGCCUGGUCAUAAUAAUCGCCUUAGGUUGGAGCAGGCCCCUCGUUUUGCAGGGGAGGAGGCUGGUCCUUCUUCACCUUUUCUGGGGUUGCCGGGCCCCCGGUUCUGGGGUCUUGAUCUCAUGCUCUCAGUUCUAUCCAAAUUUGGCCCCUAUGUGUUAAGCACCUACUGUGUGCUGGGUGGUGGAGGGAGGGCCUCAAAGCCGGGAGGAGCCGAGUUCGAGUCCCCACGCGGAGACAUCGCGCCUGGAUGAGUCACGGUUUGUGCCUCAGUUUCCCCCAACUUGGAGAGGCCAAAGUUCAGACAUUCUCCCACCAGGGGGAGGAGGGAACGACGGCUUUCUGGGCAGUGAGGGGCAAGAGCCACGUGGGGCUCCCUCCUUUGGGGGGAACGCCCCCAGCCGGCCCCACCCACGUGCUGGCCUUCUCCCCCCGAGGUGCGGCGGCCCCAGAGGGACGGAGAAGCGACUCCCGCCUCCCUCGGGGACUCGGCCCCGAGCGACAAUGGAGCCCCGCGGAUGCUCAGCUCUUAUUUAUCCCCACGGGGAGGUUUCGCCCUUCGAACCCCCCACCCUCCGCCCUUCACUCUGCGGGUUCCUGCCCGCCUGGUUCACGUCCCACGGCCACAGCGACCCUCCCCCCUCCCCGGGGGCAUGUGCCCCCCCGCCCCCCAUUCUCUCCAGGCUUUUUGGGGAGUGGGUGACAGACGCCCGGGUCUCCUGGGUCCGCCACAUGUUCCUUCCUUAUAGAGCCCUUAUCCUCAAUCAGCCCCGCCCAAGGGGCCACAAAUGGCGCCGCCUCUGCCGGGGGAGCUUGUCCCCCUCCCCGCCAGCUCCCGCCGCUUCCCCUCCCUCCCUCCUCCCCUUCGGCCCCGGCCCCGCUUCCCGCUGCCCUUUGCUUUCCUCCCAGCCCCGGGGCCCUCCCGGAGGCCUGCGGGCGCCGGGGUCUGGGCCAGAGGGGGCAACUGUAGGAAAAUUUCACUUUAUAAAAUAAAUAUGAAGCUCUGGAGCCUCCCGCAAGUGUCGCCAUGGAAACGAGAGCCUGGGCUGUCACCAUGGAAACGGGAGGAGGGGUUGUCCCUGCUUGACAGAGUUUCCUGCCGCCGUGGUGGGAGACUUCGUUAUCCGAGGAAGCCUUUGCUCCCCGUCUCCCCACAUGGUGCCCGGGAUGGGGCGCUUCUCUCUGCAGGGGAUUAGGGAACGCGGCGUAUGCAGAAAGGAGCAGAUUUCCAGCAUCAGGCGGCAGGGGGAGGGGGAGGGGCUCCCUCACUUUCUCCUUCCGCCCAGUGAACCCAUCAAUCAGCGAGCCUUUCCUGAGCACCUACUACGUGCACAGCCUUGGGCAAGGCUGAAAUCAGUCCCUGGUCAGGCAUUUAUUAAAUACCCACUGUAUGCAGGGCAUAGCCCCUGCCUCCAAAGGGAGAAAGAAGACAAUAAACAGAUAAAUAGUGUCAUUGAUUCAGUCCCAUAGUCCAAACGCUGGGCAGCCAGGGCGUGCAGUGAGAGGCGCCGGGCCGGAGUCCGGAGUUCAAAUUCGGCCUCACCACUUCCUAGCUGGGGGACUUUGGACCACUCACUCCCGUUUCCUCUUCUGUCAAACGAGCCAGAGAAGCCCCGCCACGGACCGGGUCGUUACAGCCGAAGUAGCGCAAGGAAGUCUGCGGGGGACUGCCGGGAGCUGGGGGGAGGGGCGUUUGAGCCGAGCCCAGAAGGAGGAGAGAGAGGGGGGAACCUCAGAGCGGGGGGGGGGGGGGGUGCCCAGGGAAGGAGGAGGGUGAUGCCUCCCUCACACUAACUGGCUCACUUAAGGCUGGGGUAAAACUACCGCCCCCUCCGGGCCACGUGGGGCCCCCUCGGAUGAAAGCUUAUGUCGGACCCAGGAGUAGGAGGAUGCUCCGUUGUUCGCCAGGUCCCGCUCUCGGGCAGGUCUCUUCCUCGUUUCCCAUCCCCCGGGCCCGGCCCACGUUGGGUCUCCCUCCUUCCUCUUCACUGGCAGAACCUCGGACUCUCUCCUUGGUUCUGAACUCGCCGCUGUCCCCGCGGCUGAGACAGACCCUCCGGCCCAGAAGGACCAGGCUUGUUCCGCGCGGGAAGAGCCUUCACAUGCAGGGUCCCGCCCUAGCCUCUCCCAGGCAGUGAGACCUAGUGCGCAGGUGUCUCCCAGAGGGAAGAGGCACCCAGCUGGGCCCAAGGGACGCCCCUGGGAAGGAGCAUCUGUGUCCCACGGUCCCCAGCCGGGGAAUAGCCUUGGAAGCCCCCUAGGUCCCGCCGUGUGUCAGGAAGGGGGCGCGGGGAGAGAGCAGGCGCACAAGGACGAGGGUGUCCCCCGUGGGGCCGUAGAGGUCAGCUAGUCCCUCGGUCUUAUUUGACGGAGGAGGAAACUGAGGCCCACAAAGUGAUAGUUCUGGGCCAAGGCCACAGGCGCAGUAAGUUCUAGAAGCAGAAUCUGGACCCGGGAUCUCUGCCCCCAGAGCCUGUGCUCAUCUGCUGACCUCAUCCAACACCCAGGCCCCAUCUGGCCACUCCUCUGCUCGAGAAUCUUCCUGGUCUCCUAGUCACGAUCCAAAAGGAUCCGAAUGUUUCCCUGGCCUUUGGGACCGCUGCAGCCUGGCUCCGACCUUCCUUCUCAGCCUCAUCUCACAGGGUCACAGACUGAAAGCUAGGAGGAGGAUGGGGUCGUCUUGUCCAGUCCUUUGGUUUCAUAGGAGGGGAACGGAGGCCCAGAGAGGGAACAUGGCCCGUCUGGGGCCGCAGAGACAGGAAGGUGGGGAUUUGAACUCACAUCAUGCUCUGUUUUGCCAGACUGGAUGACCUAGUGAUCUCUGAUCUAGAAGAGACUUGCUGGUUACAGCUCUGGAACUAGAGAGGAGCAAACCAGACUCGGACUCACUAGCCGUGGGAUCCUGGCCAAGUCCACCACCUGCCAGAUAUCCUGCGUUUCUCCUUCCUUCUCCGUUCCUUCAGUUCUUGGACAAAGCCAUCCACACUUACUGGCUCCCUUACUGCUCAGUCUGUUCUAAACCCUCCAUAAUCUGCCUCUGACCUUCCCAUUCAAAGAAAACUACUCUUCUUCCAAAGUGGCCAGUGGCGUUUCACUUGUCCUCUCCUCCAUUGUCAUCCUCCCUGACUUCUCUGGAACAUUUGCCACUCUCGGUCUCCUUCUCCUUGAUGUUUUCUCCCUUCUGGGUUUUCCAAAACAGAACUCACUGUAUUUCCCAUCAGACCCUCCUCUCUUCUGACCUUCCCCAAAAGGUCAACAGCAGCACCAGCCUCAGUCACCCCUGCUCAAAAAUUCAGUGUUAUCUUCUUGUCUGCCCUCUCAUUCCCUCGCAGUCGCCAAGCAGUUGCCAAGUCCUUUCCUAUCUUCACAAAAUCCCUUUAUUCUCACAGCCAUCACACUGGCACUUUCCUUUCACCCGGACUAUUCCCCCAGCCUCCUAAAUGGUCUCUUUGACACACUCUCUCCCCUCUCCAAUUUAUCCAUUACUCACUUGCCAAAAAUCUUUUAGAAAUUUUUAUUUUUUAAGUAAAAAUAUUUAACAAAAGCAUUAAAAAAAUUCAACCACCAAGCUUUACCUUAGACGAUAAAAAAGACCAUUCCCAUACACAUAUCAAACCACAAAAUAUGAUUGUGCAUGAAACCAUGAAUUUCCAUUUCAGUGUCUUAAAAAUAGCCUAUGAUAAUUCUGCCCAUCACUUUCACAAUUCCACACUUAGGUUCAAAGCUAUCUUUUCUCCUUUUUCUUUUGAACUUCCUUCUUCAAAUGUUGCAAUGAUCCUCUUUGUGGGAAUUAUUAUUUCUAAACAUCCCCCCCCCCCCAACAAUACACAUUACUUCAAGUUAAACACCAGUAAUAAGUGUGGUUAAGCAAAAUGGAUCCCUGCAUGGCCAAGCCCCAAACUGUGUCUUUUUCCAUCCUUAGAGUUCAUCAUUUUUCUGUGUCCUCCUGGGCAAAUCACUUAUUCUCUGUAUGCUUCAGUUUGUUCUUCUGCAUGAGUAUAACAGCAGCAGCUGCCUCCCAGGGUUGAAAUAAGGAUGAAAAGAGAUAAUUUUUAUGGAAACUUUAAACUGUUGUGUGAGUGGUAGUUUACUAUGCAUUAUUAUUUUUUAUUCUUUCACCUUUCUUUUUUAUUAUAGUUUCUUAUGGACAAAACAUAUGCAUGGGUAAUUUUUCAACAUUGACCCUUGCAAAAACUUCUGUUCCAACUUUUCCCCUCCUUCCCCCCACUCCCUAGAUGGCAGGCAGUCCCAUACAUGUUAAACAUUUUAAAGUAUAUGUUAAAUACAAUAUAUAUCAUAAAUAUUCUUUUCUUUUUGUUUUUUUUUAUAACUUUUUAUUGACAGAUCCCAUGCCAGAGUAAUUUUUUACAACAUUAUCCCCAUAUGUAUUAUUUUCACAAGGAGAAUUUUCUGAUGAUUGGUGCUUUCCCAAAAAUAGAAUAAGCAGCUCAGGGUAUUAUGAGUUCCCUAUGGUCUUCAAGUAGAGGCUGGGUAGACUAGUAUUUGAUAUUGUGAUUGCGGCACCUAAAGAACCUUUAAGAUUCCUGACAACCUGGAAUUGAUAAGAUCUUGGAACACUAUUCCUGGGGAUCAAGGCAGUUACCUUUUCUCCUUAAAGCAUAGAUUAUAAGAAGUGCUUGCUAUCAGAUGAUGACCAAUUAAGAGUCAAUAUUGCUUUGCCAGUGCAUCCAAGACACAUUUUUGAAAAAAACUGUCUAAAUGGAUCCUUUUAAACUUUGUUAUUCCUAAUGAGUGUUUCCUCUUACAUCCUUAUUCCCACUGUUCCUUAAAAAUUAUUUAUGAUUUUAUUUAGUAAAAUAAUUUUCACUUUUUAAAAAAAAAUUUGAGUUCUAAAUUCUCUCCUUCCCUCCAUCGAAAGCAAUUUGAAAUAGAUUAUACAUGUGUAGUCAUGCAAAACACGUUUCCUUAUUAGUCAUAUUGUGAAAAGAAACAUAGACAAAAAAACCCCCAAGAAAAACAAAGAAAGUAAAACAAAGUAUGCUUCAAUCUAUAUUCAGAAUCCAUCACUUCUUUCUCUGGAGGUGGGUAGCAUUUUUCAUCCCAAGUUCUUCAGAGUUGUCUCGGAUCAUUGUAUUGUUGAAAGUAGCUGAGUCAUUCGCAAUGAAAACAUCACACAAUAUUGCUGUUACGGUGUAAAAAGCCUCACUUUUAACAACCAAGUAGAGCUAAGUAAAAUGAAUGUGAGUCAACCAUAUCUAAGCAAGUUUUCCCCUUUCUGAACUUCAGGAGCAGAUUCAAACAAAAACGAGUGAACAUAAAAGGAGCAAUCCAGACACUCAUCCUAGGUCAGUAGGGAGCACGUGGGCCAUGGGAGAAAACCUUAUGUUUGCAGACUGGAGGGGAGGUCUGUUUGCAAGGGAAUAGAUAAUUCUCAGUAUCUCCUAACUGGCACCCUAAAGGGUUACAUUGGUGGCACACACAACUGAUGUUCUGGAGUUUCCCAUCUGUGGGAACAAGUCUUGUUUUGUGUUGUUUCCCUUAUCUGAAGAACUGCCUAAAACAGUUGUGAAAGGUAUUCCCUUUUGUUCCCACACUUUCAGGGAAAUCACAAGGGGAUCUGUUCCCUGCUGGUUGGGGAAAACCAGUGUCCCUCUGUAGAAAACAACCAGAUCCCUGGUCUUUCCACCUCUGCAUUUAGACCCAUUUGCUGAAGGUUUCUCAGAGGGUUUUCCUGGGAAGCAAAAAGAAGAGAGACAUUGUUCACUUUCUCGGUGUCCUGGACCCCCUUAGGCAACAGUUAAGUGAAGGCUGAAGUUCCUCUUCUCAGAAUAACGAUUUUAAAUGUAUAAAAUAAAAUGCAUGAAAUCACCAAGGAAACUAAUUAUAUUGUAACACUAUUAUCAAAUUACACACACACACACACACAGUUCAUGGAUCCCAGGUUGAGAACCUCUCAUCUUAAUUCAUGAUGCUUACAUUUUAUUAUAACGUUUUUAUGUACAAAUAUGAACUAGAUUAUCCUUGGUAGGGGAGAGGGAGAGGGAUUUUGCAUGUAUAGAAAAUAGCAGUUUUAGUACUGGAUUGUUGGAUUCUAUUGCAUCUCUCUCUUUAUUCCUUUGGCACUUCCCGGAAGUCACCCUGGUUUUUUGAUUGAAAGUCAUUGUCCCGAUGAUGAAGCCAAGUUUUAGAGGGAUUUUCUGGGGACAAGAAAUAGUGUCGGGCCCCACAGUAGAGACACUAGUUGGAGGGGAAGGCCAACAGGAAGAAAGAUCUGAGUAACUUGUAUUUAUUAAUCAGCCGCCAUUUUUAGGAGCCCAUGUUCAAUUAGAUAAUUUAAUUCUAAGAAACUUGAGAGUGAGAGUGAGAGGGAAGCGGCCACUGUGUGGUCAGGGCCUCCAUGUUUGCUUGGUAGGGCUCCAGUUCUGACCGAGACCCACUGUGGUGGGCUGCAGAAAGCAGAGACUGGACAGGAAGCUUCAGUUCUCUUAACAGGCAACUCAACCUGUCUCUACAGCAGCACUAGAAGAGGUAGGAGCCAGUCCUGGGGGAGCGGAAGAUAAGCCAGAGCGCAAAGCCCAGGAGCUGGCAGCCCUGGAGUACGGGUCAGUGAGGCCGAGCCCAGGGAACCAAGAAGCUUUAAACCCUGAGGUCAGUCUUUUGGGCCAGAUGGCGCAGUGGUCAGUGUCAGACCAGGAGGUCUCCUCUUCCUGUAACCUCAGAUACUUGCUAGCUCUGUGACGUCCUUCCAAGCCCAGCUAAGAUCCUAUGAUUGUCAGAGGCAGCAUUUGUUCCACACCGGGAGAGCUCAGGUUAGAGUUGUUAGUUUUUAGAACUCCAAAUAUCCCCAGAGCCCCAAACGUCUCCCUACAGAGGGAGGGACUGCUCUGAAGCAGGGACUCUUGAAUUUUUCUUGUAGCUGGAUUUCCAACUAUGGCCUUUUGGAGGUAAGUGCUCCAUGAGCGAUCUCUGUCUCUGUGUCUCCCUCUCUCUUUCUCUCUAACCUUCCUUCCCGCCCUCCUUUUCUUUUCCCUCCCCUCUAUUAUGUCUCCCUCCCUCCCCUUCUGUCUCAGUCUGUUUAUCUUUGUCUCUCUUUCUGUCUCUAUUUCUCCCUCUCCUUCCUUCUCUCUCUUUCUCUCUCUUCCCUUCAUCUGUAUCUCCUCCCUUCCUUCCUCUCUUCCUGUAUGUCUGUGUGUCUCUAUAUCUGUGUCUCUGUUCUGUUGCUGUAUUUGUUUCUCUCUCUCUUCCUGUGUUGGUCUCUUUAUGUCUAUUUCUCUGUCUCUGUUUCUCUCCCUCCCUCUUUCUUUCUCUCUAUCCUUCCUUCCCUCCCCUCUGACUCCUUCCCUCCCCUUCUGUCUCAGUCUGUUUCUCUGUCUCUGUCUGUCUCUGUCUCUGUGUCUCUGUCUCUGUCUGUCUCUCUGUUUCUCUGUCUCUGUGUCUCUGUCUGUCUCUCUGUUUCUCUGUCUCUGUGUCUCUCCCUCCCUCUUCUCUGUCUCUGUCUCUGUCUGUCUCUGAUUCUGUCUCUCUGUGUCUCUCUCUCCCCUGCUCCCGUCUCUUUAUCUCUGUCUGUCUCUGUCUUUGUGUCUCUGUCUCUGUCUGUGUCUCUCCCUCCCCCUCCUCCCGUGUCUGUCUCUUUAUCUCUGUCUCUGUGUCUCUCCCGCCCUCUUCCUUCUCUCUCUCUCCCUACCCCCUCCCUCUCACCGUCCCUUUCUCUCUCUUUCUGUCUCUCUCCCAGCGUCUUGCUUAGAAAGAACAAUGCC
rnacentral:lncRNA from 1 species